AUGCUCUCUUUGAUAGCACAUACUCUAAAAUUAGAACAAUACAGAGAAGAUUAGCCUGGCCCUGGCAAGGCUGACAAGCAAAUUCGUGACGUAUUCCAUAUUUUA